GGAGAUGUAGUUCAGUCAGUAGAAUGCUUGCCUAGCAUGCAUGAAGUCCUUCGCUUCAUCUCCA
rnacentral:tRNA from 1 species